rnacentral:misc_RNA from 1 species
GAUGAAGAACGUAGCGAAAUGCGAUAAGUAAUGUGAAUUGCAGAAUUCAGUGAAUCAUCGAAUCUUUGAACGCACCUUGCACCCUUUGGCAUUCCGAAGGGUAUGCUCGUUUGAGUGUCAUUGUACUCUCACUCUCCCGAUGCUUUUGGAUCGGGAGUGGUGGACUUGGGUGUUGCUGCUUUGCUGUGGCUCGCCUCAAAUGGAGUAGUGCAACUCUUGGUUGGACAUAGUACGGCGUGAUAAGUGUCUUCGCCGGCGCCUCAUUAUAGAGGGUGGCCGAUCGGGAGCUCUGUGCUUCAAACCGUCUUCGGACAACAUCUGACAACUUGACCUCAAAUCGAGUAGGACUACCCGCUGAACUUAAGCAUAUCAAUAAGCGGAGAA